rnacentral:rRNA from 1 species
GGGGAAACUCGAAUUAAUACCGCAUACGACCUACGGGUGAAAGGGGGCGCAAGCUCUUGCUAUUAGAUGAGCCUAAAUCAGAUUAGCUAGUUGGUGGGGUAAAGGCCCACCAAGGCGACGAUCUGUAACUGGUCUGAGAGGAUGAUCAGUCACACCGGAACUGAGACACGGUCCGGACUCCUACGGGAGGCAGCAGUGGGGAAUAUUGGACAAUGGGGGCAACCCUGAUCCAGCCAUGCCGCGUGUGUGAAGAAGGCCUUUUGGUUGUAAAGCACUUUAAGCAGGGAGGAGAGGCUAAUGGUUAAUACCCAUUAGAUUAGACGUUACCUGCAGAAUAAGCACCGGCUAACUCUGUGCCAGCAGCCGCGGUAAUACAGAGGGUGCGAGCGUUAAUCGGAAUUACUGGGCGUAAAGCGAGUGUAGGUGGCUCAUUAAGUCACAUGUGAAAUCCCCGGGCUUAACCUGGGAACUGCAUGUGAUACUGGUGGUGCUAGAAUAU